UACGUAGGGUGCGAGCGUUGUCCGGAAUUACUGGGCGUAAAGAGCUCGUAGGUGGUUUGUCACGUCGUCUGUGAAAUUCCGGGGCUUAACCUCGGGCGUGCAGGCGAUACGGGCAAUACUUGAGUGCUGUAGGGGGGACUGGAAUUCCUGGUGUAGCGGUGAAAUGCGCAGAUAUCAGGAGGAACACCGAUGGCGAAGGCAGGUCUCUGGGCAGUAACUGACGCUGAGGAGCGAAAGCAUGGGUAGCGAACAGGAUUAGAUACCCG
rnacentral:rRNA from 1 species